GUGAUAAAGGAGGAUUUAUGUCCUUACAGUCAAUGGGUUCUGGAAGAAUUGAGAGUAAAUUUAGUGACAUGAGCAUUUCUAGCAGUGAAGGUGGUUUUGGAAGUGGUUCUGGGUUUGGAUUGACCACUGAUGUUGACUCCUUUUCCAGCAAAUCUAAAGGUCGUCAGCCAUCAUCUGCCACUGCUCCCCCUAAAGGUCUUGGUAUGAAGCUUGGUAAAACCCAGAGGACAAACCAAUUUUUGGAAUCACUGAAAGCAGAAGGUGAAGUGAUUCUUGACGAAGUGCAGCCAAAGGCAGGUCAAUCCAGAUCUGCUGCUGCACCACCAACUGAUCCCAUUACUUUGACCGUUGAGGAGAAACUCAAUGUGACUUUAAGAAGAGAUGGCGGAAUGAAUAACUUUGACGUUCAAGGGCAAUUGUCACUUCAGAUUCUUAAUCAAGAAGAUGGGCUAAUCCAAGUUCAGAUUGAAACUGGAGGAAAUCCAGCCAUCCUCUUCAAGACACACCCUAACAUGAUCAAAGAAUUAUUUGCCAAUGAAAAUAUUCUAGGCUUAAAGGAUCCUAGUAGACCUUUCCCCACUGGUGAUGCAGCAGGUGUUGGUCUUCUGAAAUGGAGAAUGCAAAGUGGUGAUGAGUCAAUGGUGCCAUUGACAAUCAACUGCUGGCCCUCUGUUUCUGGAAAUGAAACAUAUGUCAGCAUUGAAUAUGAGGCUUCAUCCUUGUUUGAUCUGCGAAAUGUCAUGAUCUCAGUACCUCUUCCAGCUCUUCGAGAGGCACCGAGUGUUAGGCAGAUUGAUGGAGAAUGGAGGUAUGACUC
rnacentral:misc_RNA from 1 species